rnacentral:rRNA from 1 species
CCUACGGGGGGCUGCAGUGGGGAAUAUUGGACAAUGGGCGAAAGCCUGAUCCAGCCAUGCCGCGUGUGUGAAGAAGGCCUUCGGAUUGUAAAGCACUUUCAGUGGGGAAGAAAGCCUUGGGGCUAAUACCCUCGAGGAAGGACAUCACCCACAGAAGAAGCACCGGCUAACUCCGUGCCAGCAGCCGCGGUAAUACGGAGGGUGCGAGCGUUAAUCGGAAUUACUGGGCGUAAAGCGCGCGUAGGCGGUCUGAUAAGCCGGUUGUGAAAGCCCCGGGCUCAACCUGGGAACGGCAUCCGGAACUGUCAGGCUAGAGUGCAGGAGAGGAAGGUAGAAUUCCCGGUGUAGCGGUGAAAUGCGUAGAGAUCGGGAGGAAUACCAGUGGCGAAGGCGGCCUUCUGGACUGACACUGACGCUGAGGUGCGAAAGCGUGGGUAGCAAACAGGAUUAGAUACCCUAGUAGUC